rnacentral:misc_RNA from 1 species
AACAUCGCGCACCUGCGGGAACCUGCGGAGGGAUCAUUACUGAGUCACGUGCUCAACAACCCUUCUGUGGACCUGAAAUAAAACCGUUGCCUCGGCGGGCGGUCCCCCCAAGCAAACCCCACGUGGUGGGUUAGGGGACCAGACAGUCCGGCACUCUUAAGGCGUCCGGCGCCAGCCGCUGGCCCCAAACAAUUAAACUCUAGUAACCUUUACCUUCUGAGUUUCAAUAUUUAAAAAUAA